CCAGAGCCUACCCCGGGUGGCAUGGUGAUGAUCCAGAUUCAGGAGACAUGUCUGAGAAAGGAUCGUUCAGACUUUUUGACCUAUUUUACAUGAGGAAUAAAGGAUAGAGAAUCUUCUUCCCUUCUGGUCUGACUAGGAAAGCCAGAGGGAGAUGGUGAAGGAGACACAGAGAGAGUAAAAGAACAGACCAUGCCCAGCCUCUCCACUGCAGGAGCUUGGAAUCAGUGAAGCAGAGUUGCCAGCCAUCUAUGGAUCCUAACUAAAUUGGUCCUUGUAAUACUCGGUAUUAUUUGCCAAGAUAUUGAAAAACCUCUAAACAGUGAGAAGCUGCUGUGCCCUGAGGACACCCAGGCAGCCUAAGGAGAGGCCCACAGGUGAGAAACUGCAUGUGUGAGCUGAGCUUGGAAGUGGAUCUUCUAUGUUUUGCCAACAGCCACGUGACUAGUUUUGGAAGCAGAUUCUCCAGCCCCAGCUGCACCUGUGCCAGAGGCACCCAUUAAGCCGCACCUAGUUAAAUUCCUGACCCACAAAGACUUUGAAAUCAUAAAUGUUUGUUGUUUUAAGCUGCUAAGUUUUGAAGUAAUCUGCCAUGUAGCAACAUGAAACUACUUGGACCAAAUAUGUGUUUUUCUAAGCACAGGAAUAUUCACACUUUAUUAAACUUGAGUAUUCCAACAAUAGGAUGGAAGUCCAAGUUUUAUUUCUUUGCUGGGACCCUCACAUGCAUGUAUCACAUAUGUAUCAUUAAAAAAUGAAGGACAAAUCUAAUCAGGGGAUGACUUUAUAUUGAUUUUUUUUUAACUUAGUAGAAUCAGUAAGUGAAAUGUUGUUAGACUUAGUAAAAUAAAAAAUAAGCAAAGUUAUUGUAUUUUUACCCACUAGUAAAGAAGUUAGUCAUGGCAUUGCUG
rnacentral:lncRNA from 10 species